rnacentral:rRNA from 1 species
UGAGGAAUAUUCGGCAAUGGGCGCAAGCCUGACCGAGCCAUGCCGCGUGAGUGAAGAAGGCCCUAGGGUUGUAAAGCUCUUUCACCGAUGAAGAUAAUGACGGUAGUCGGAGAAGAAGCCCCGGCUAACUUCGUGCCAGCAGCCGCGGUAAUACGAAGGGGGCUAGCGUUGUUCGGAAUUACUGGGCGUAAAGCGCACGUAGGCGGAUUGUUUAGUCAGGGGUGAAAUCCCGGGGCUCAACCCCGGAACUGCCUCUGAUACUGGCAAUCUCGAGUUCGAGAGAGGUGAGUGGAAUUCCGAGUGUAGAGGUGAAAUUCGUAGAUAUUCGGAGGAACACCAGUGGCGAAGGCGGCUCACUGGCUCGAUACUGACGCUGAGGUGCGAAAGCGUGGGGAGCAAACAGGAUUAGAUACCCCCGUAGUCC